rnacentral:rRNA from 1 species
AACGAACGCUGGCGGCAGGCUUAACACAUGCAAGUCGAACGCCCCGCAAGGGGAGUGGCAGACGGGUGAGUAACGCGUGGGAAUCUACCGUACCCUAAGGAACAACAGUUGGAAACGACUGCUAAUACCGUAUACGCCCUCAGGGUGAAAGAUUUAUCGGGGUAUGAUGAGCCCGCGUUGGAUUAGCUGGUUGGUGGGGUAAAGGCCUGCCAAGGCGACGAUCCAUAGCUGGUCUGAGAGGAUGAGCAGCCACACUGGGACUGAGACACGGCCCAAACUCCUACGGGAGGCAGCAGUGGGGAAUAUUGGACAAUGGGCGCAAGCCUGAUCCAGCCAUGCCGCGUGAGUGAUGAAGGUCUUAGGAUUGUAAAGCUCUUUCACCGAUGAAGAUAAUGACGGUAGUCGGAGAAGAAGCCCCGGCUAACUUCGUGCCAGCCGCCGCAGUAA